rnacentral:rRNA from 1 species
GACGAACGCUGGCGGCGUGCUUAACACAUGCAAGUCGAACGGUAAGGCCCUUCGGGGUACACGAGUGGCGAACGGGUGAGUAACACGUGGGUGAUCUGCCCUGCACUUCGGGAUAAGCCUGGGAAACUGGGUCUAAUACCGGAUAGGACCACUGCCUGCAUGGGUGGUGGUGGAAAGCUUUUGCGGUGUGGGAUGGGCCCGCGGCCUAUCAGCUUGUUGGUGGGGUGAUGGCCUACCAAGGCGACGACGGGUAGCCGGCCUGAGAGGGUGACCGGCCACACUGGGACUGGGAUACGGCCCAGACUCCUACGGGAGGCAGCAGUGGGGAAUAUUGCACAAUGGGCGCAAGCCUGAUGCAGCGACGCCGCGUGAGGGAUGACGGCCUUCGGGUUGUAAACCUCUUUCAGCACCGACGAAGCGCAAGUGACGGUAGGUGUAGAAGAAGGACCGGCCAGCUACGUGCCAGCAGCCGCAGUAA